UGACCAUAUCAUGUUGAAACACCGGUUCUCGAACGAUCACCGAGGUUUAAGCAACGUCGAGCCGAGUCUGGUCAGUACCUAGAUGGGUGACCGCUUGGGAAUACCAGGUGCUGCAA